CUUGGUCAUUUAGAGGAAGUAAAAGUCGUAACAAGGUUUCCGUAGGUGAACCUGCGGAAGGAUCAUUAACGAGUUAGGGUCCCUCGUGGCCCGACCUCCCAACCCUUUGUCUACUUAACCACUGUUGCUUCGGCGAGCCCGUCUGUAAUGGACCGCCGGGGGGUACCUUGAUCGGCCCUCUGGUCAGCGCUCGUCGGUGGCCAAACUUUUAAAAUCUUAACCAAACGUGCCUCAGUCUAAGUAUUAUUUGUUAAAUAAAAGCAAAACUUUCAACAACGGAUCUCUUGGUUCUGGCAUCGAUGAAGAACGCAGCGAAAUGCGAUAAGUAAUGCGAAUUGCAGAAUUUCAGUGAGUCAUCGAAUCUUUGAACGCACAUUGCGCCCUUUGGUAUUCCGAAGGGCAUGCCUGUUCGAGCGUCAUUAUCACCCCUCAAGCCUUCGGCUUGGUGUUGGACGGUUUGGUGGAGGCCCCCCCGCGGGGCCACCGCCCCUCCCAAAGACAAUGACGGCGGCCUCGUUGGACCCCCGGUACACUGAGUUCUUCACGGGACACGUAUCGGACACAUGGGUUUACGGGACACGGUCUGCCUCCCCUCAGGGAGAAUCUUUCUAAGGUUGACCUCGGAUCAGGUAGGGAUACCCGCUGAACUUAAGCAUAUCAAUAAGCGGAGGAAAAGAAACCAACAGGGAUUGCCUCAGUAACGGCGAGUGAAGCGGCAACAGCUCAAAUUUGAAAUCUGGCCUCUUUGGGGUCCGAGUUGUAAUUUGUAGAGGAUGUUUCGGGUACCGCCUCGGUUUAAAUUUCUUGGAACAGAAUGUCAAAGAGGGUGAGAAUCCCGUCUUGGACCGGCGGUAGGGCCCAUGUGAAACUCCUUCGACGAGUCGAGUUGUUUGGGAAU
rnacentral:sRNA from 1 species